UAAAGUGGUACGCGAGCUGGGUUUAGAACGUCGUGAGACAGUUCGGUCCCUAUCUGCCGUGGGCGCUGGAAGAUUGAGAGGAUUUGCUCCUAGUACGAGAGGACCGGAGUGAACGCACCGCUGGUGUUCGGGUUGUCAUGCCAAUGGCAUUGCCCGGUAGCUACGUGCGGAACAGAUAACCGCUGAAAGCAUCUAAGCGGGAAACUGACCUCGAGAUGAGUCUUCCCCUGGGCUUAGAGUCCGCUAAAGGAACGUUAAAGACGAUGACGUAGAUAGGUCAGGUGUGUAAGCGUAGUGAUACGUUGAGCUAACUGAUACUAAUGAACCGUGAGACUUAACCUU
rnacentral:rRNA from 1 species